CGGGCCGUCGUAUAGUGGUAGUACACAAGGCUGGGGGUCUUGUAGCCCGAGUUCAAUUCUCGGCGGCCCGA
rnacentral:tRNA from 2 species